rnacentral:rRNA from 1 species
UAAGGAAUAUUGGUCAAUGGACGCAAGUCUGAACCAGCCAUGCCGCGUGAAGGAUGAAGGUCCUCUGGAUUGUAAACUUCUUUUAUCUGGGACGAAAACGGGAUUUUUAUCUCAAUUGACGGUACCAGAGGAAUAAGCACCGGCUAACUCCGUGCCAGCAGCCGCGGUAAUACGGAGGGUGCGAGCGUUAUCCGGAUUUACUGGGUUUAAAGGGUGCGUAGGUGGGCUUAUAAGUCAGUGGUGAAACCCUACAGCUUAACUGUAGAACUGCCUUUGAUACUUUUAUUCUUGAGUUCGGGAGAGAGAGACGGAAUUCCAGGUGUAGUGGUGAAAUACGUAGAUAUCUGGAAGAACACCAGUUGCGAAGGCGGUCUCUUGGUCCGACACUGACGCUGAGGCGCGAAAGCGUGGGGAGCAAACA